rnacentral:snRNA from 1 species
AUCGCUUCUCGGCCUUUUGGCUAAGAUCAUGUGUAGUAUCUGUUCUUUUCAGCUUAAUAUCUGAAACGCGACUCACCGAGUCGCUUGUAUAUUAACUGAUUUUUGAACUUAGGCCAUGGAAUAGGGGGCUUGCUCCGUCCUGGCACGGGUUGGCCCGGUAUUGCAGUACCUCCGGGAUCGGCCCACCCUCA